GUCCCUGUAGUCUAAUGGAUAGAAUACUUCCCUCCGAAGGAAGUGAUGCAGGUUCGAUUCCUGCCAGGGACA
rfam:Parcubacteria bacterium GW2011_GWA2_47_64 TY03_C0008, whole genome shotgun sequence.